ACGAACGCUGGCGGCGUGCUUCACACAUGCAAGUCGAACGGAAAGGCCCUGCUUUUGUGGGGUGCUCGAGUGGCGAACGGGUGAGUAACACGUGAGUAACCUGCCCUUGACUUUGGGAUAACUUCAGGAAACUGGGGCUAAUACCGGAUAGGAGCUCCUGCUGCAUGGUGGGGGUUGGAAAGUUUCGGCGGUUGGGGAUGGACUCGCGGCUUAUCAGCUUGUUGGUGGGGUAGUGGCUUACCAAGGCUUUGACGGGUAGCCGGCCUGAGAGGGUGACCGGCCACAUUGGGACUGAGAUACGGCCCAGACUCCUACGGGAGGCAGCAGUGGGGAAUAUUGCACAAUGGGCGGAAGCCUGAUGCAGCAACGCCGCGUGCGGGAUGACGGCCUUCGGGUUGUAAACCGCUUUCGCCUGUGACGAGGCGUGAGUGACGGUAAUGGGUAAAGAAGCACCGGCUAACUACGUG
rnacentral:rRNA from 1 species